UACGUAGGGUGCAAGCGUUGUCCGGAAUUAUUGGGCGUAAAGAGCUCGUAGGUGGUUUGUCGCGUCGAAUGUGAAAACCCGGGGCUCAACCCCGGGCCUGCAUUCGAUACGGGCAGACUAGAGUGUGGUAGGGGAGACUGGAAUUCCUGGUGUAGCGGUGAAAUGCGCAGAUAUCAGGAGGAACACCGAUGGCGAAGGCAGGUCUCUGGGCCACUACUGACGCUGAGAAGCGAAAGCGUGGGGAGCGAACAGG
rnacentral:rRNA from 1 species